rnacentral:antisense_RNA from 2 species
UUCUAUGGUGGGCCGUGCGGGGCAGGCUUUUGCCUGGCCGGUUCCCUUGGUUCCCGGUUGUCACCCCCGUGCGGUCCACCACCAAU